UAAUACGUAGGUGGCAAGCGUUGUCCGGAAUUAUUGGGCGUAAAGCGCGCGCAGGUGGGAUAUUAAGUCUGGUGUUAAAGUUCGGGGCUCAACCCCGUGAAGCAUUUGGAAACUGAUAUUCUUGAGUGCAGGAGAGGAAAGUGGAAUUCCUAGUGUAGCGGUGAAAUGCGUAGAUAUUAGGAGGAACACCAGUGGCGAAGGCGACUUUCUGGACUGUGUCUGACACUGAGGCGCGAAAGCUAGGGUAGUGAACAGGAUUAGAUACCCUGGUAAUCCUAGCUGUAAACGAUGGGUACUAGGUGUUGGGGGUAUCGACCCCUCCAGUGCCGGAGUUAACGCAAUAAGUACCCCGCCUGGGGAGUACGGCCGCAAGGUUG
rnacentral:rRNA from 1 species